UACGGGGGGGGCAAGCGUUGUUCGGAAUUACUGGGCGUAAAGGGCUCGUAGGUGGCCAACUAAGUCAGACGUGAAAUCCCUCGGCUCAACCGAGGAACUGCGUCCGAUACUGGUGGGCUUGAAUCCGGGAGAGGGAUGUGGAAUUCCAGGUGUAGCGGUGAAAUGCGUAGAUAUCUGGAGGAACACCGGUGGCGAAGGCGGCAUCCUGGACCGGUAUUGACGCUGAGGCGCGAAAGCUAGGGGAGCAAACGGG
rnacentral:rRNA from 1 species